rnacentral:rRNA from 1 species
UACGUAGGUGGCAAGCGUUGUCCGGAUUUACGGGGCGUAAAGAGCGCGCAGGCGGCCGUCCAAGUCGGAUGUGAAAGUCCCUGGCUCAACUGGGGAAAGUCAUUCGAUACUGAUCGGCUCGAAGGCAGGAGAGGGAAGCGGAAUUCCCGGUGUAGUGGUGAAAUGCGUAGAUAUCGGGAGGAACACCAGUGGCGAAGGCGGCUUCCUGGCCUGUUCUUGACGCUGAGGCGCGAAAGCUAGGGGAGCGAACGGG